AGCACAGCUUCCAAUCCCCACCCACCAGCUUCAGUCAAAGGGAUGACUUCAGUCUCUUUCUUAACUAAUCCUGUCACUGUAAAAUCCUACAGUCAUUCUUCCACACAUAAAGGGAAAACGGACUCACUAGGAGGACCUAGACUCUUUCAGCUUGAACUGUUAGCCAAUGGUGGAAAUGCAAGAAUGCUGAAGUUGUGCCUUCAGAGCCAAUAGAGUGGAUUUGUGUGUCCCACAUGACUGUGUUUCCCCUGUCUUUCACAUGGGCAGUAUUUAGUUCAAUUCAGAACUGCAGAUAGUAUAGCGUGCAGAGCAGCAAUGGGAUGUCUGAGCACAAGUGGCUGACUUCCAGGCGACUUCAGGAAGCACAUUUGUAAUAUUUCUCCUGAAAUAAACUGGGAUUCUGCACCCUUGACAUCCUCCGACCCUCCUUGUCUCUGCAGAAGGAGACAGCGACCUGCACAGCACAACAAAACUACAAAUCACCGCAGAGCUGCAGACCAGCAAAGGAAGUGAACUGAGGGCAAUUUGACCGACAUCGUCUGUGUCAGUUCCCCAGAGGUCGAUGAAACAUGUUAUCAGGUCUCCAAGGAGGAGGGGAAGAAAUAAACCACCACAAAAACAAAAUCUGCUUUCCUCAUGGAAGAAUGGUAACUUGGACAACAUUCGGCACCACAGGUUCGAAGGGCUAUUUCAUCUGCAUUGUAUUUACAUUUCUUUAAACUACAUAUUUUCCACUUCUUUUGAUUAUGCAAGACUACAAAGGACCAUAUAUUUCCAUGGCAAAGGGACAGCUGGUAUCUGAAUAUUAACAGAUGAGCAGCCAGGUGCCAGCUGGUGUAAAGGCAGAUGCCACUGACGUCAAUGGAGCAGUGCCAGUUUACACUAGCUGAGGAUCUGAUCCCAAGUGUGUUAGAGCCAUUUUUAGACGCUGUCACUGGAAUUCACUUUUGCAACACAAUUAAAAAUACAUCCAUGUAUUGCAUUUCUUCCUGUCCCCAAGUGUAUAACUGGAAGCCUGUUGACAGACUGUGGGAGAGGGCAAGUAGGAGGUGGAAGUAGCCAACAGCUGUAUCCAUGAGAUAACUUUGCAAUACAAGUAUUAAUACCAUCACUCUGUUGUCUGUUAUACAAAUGAAUAUUUGCCUUCAAAAAGCCUGAACUCCACCAUCCAGAAGCAAUUCAAUGCUAAAAGAAAAAAGAUGUUGUAAGCCACACAGACUAUCUACCAUAUAAAUACAUUAAUAUAGUUUUAAUCAGUGUGCAAACUGAAUAGACUGUUUUAAUGCAUCAUGAGGCAAACUAUCUAAAGCCAUAAGUAACUCCCCAAACCUGAUCUCUGUGUAUUCACCUAAGUAUUUUUCCUAAGCAAUCUCAUGGCUUUAUAAACAGUAAUAUUGUUAAAAGUACUAAAACAGCUGUUUGAAGUAGCCUGCAAGCCAGAUCUGUCUGACAUCUGUCGUUUAUAUUUCAUCAAGCAUUUAUGUGGCAGAGGGAGAAGGAAGGAAGAGAGGAAGAGGAAGGGCGAUAAGCAGGGCACAGUACUACUUCAUAGCUCCAGCCACCAUCCUUGGAUUAUUAUUUUACACAAAGCAGGCAUUAAACAUGUGUACCAUAUGACAGUUGUCAGUAUUAAUCAGCACAAUGAAGUAGAACAUUGGACUUUAGAUUCGAGAUAUCAAGGUCAAAAUGGAAAAGCUAACCAAUUAGAGUUGAAGAUGCAAUUCACAUAGCAUUGAAGUAAUUGUCUGUUUGUGCAGCACAACACCCGUAUCUUCAAUUUAGGUCAGGUCAUCAAAAGGAAGAAGAGGACUGAAGACUGAAGAUGAGAUGCUCUACUUCACACAGUUGCCCUCUGGAAGGACUGGCAAAGGCAGUCACUUAAAUUAAGUACAGGUCAUCAGACAAGAUAUCUAAUCUAUUCCGAAGACAGGCGGCUCUAGCAAUCCAAAUCCCUAUGGCCUUUACAGCGACACAAUGAACUACUUCCUCAUGUACCUCUGUCAAUUCAUGUUAGGUUCCAAUUUUUUUAAAGCGAUAUUUCAUGUACACCAUGACCCUAUUGCUCAUAGCAAGGAAAGUGAUUUGGUUUAUUUAUGACCUACUAACCUUAAAUAAAAAAAACAACCCAUACAUCCAAUCUGAAUGUUCACAUAAGCCUGCAGAUCUGAAAUGAAAUUUAAAAUAAAGCUGGCAUUUGUAACAGCUAGCUAAGUCCAGUAAGGGAUUAAAAAAAAAAUAAUACAUGGAAACCAGAUGAGAGAAGAUGAAAGCAUUUUUACCCUACAUAACCUGCACACAUCGGGAAUCAGGCUGAAGGCUGGAGCUCAGGAGUACUUUUUUGUGGUUUUGUACUUAUAAGUUUCAUCCUGUUUGAAGAGAAGCUAGGUAACUAAGGAAAUACUAAGGUUUUUCCACUGGGGGGGAUGUGGGGAGAGAAUAGUAACAACCUGUGAAAGUAAUUCCCUAAAAUGCAAUCUACCCUGCCUCAAGCUCUACAUCAUUACUCUCCUUCCCGUGUUCCCCAUCCUAAUUGCCAGGUAUCAGCCAGGCAAGACCCCAUACUGAAAUAUGAAGUGACAGGUGGAAGCAGGGAAGAACAUAGGAAUAAGUACUGAAAGAAAUGGCAUACAGAAAGAAAACUUAUAAUAGGGCAAAUGUUAAAUAGGAAUGACCCUAAACCGUAAAGUCUAUUUAUUUGACUGGAACAAUGUUGAACAGAUGCACAAUAGACUGCUGAGUUGGAGAGCUUUAUUCUCUCAUUACUCUUGCUGGUGUAAGGAACUCCUUUCUUAAUAUCCAUGGAAUUAAACUGUGAAAAAGCCAGUAAAAAUAAAAGGAGGAUAAAAAAAAUAAUAAAUAAAAAUCAAACUUCAGAGCUGCUGCUGUAUCAAAGAAAAAAACAAACCAACCAACCAAAACAAAAAACCACAACCACAAAGGGUUGACUUUCGCAUUUGGUUUGAAUUCAGGGAUAUUCCAGAUCACAGUGGCCUUUAUAAACAAAAUACAUCUAAUCUACCAUAAAGGAGAAAAUCAGUUGAUUCCUGUCUAGUUCUUCAAUAGGCUAUAUUAAUGACUCUGUCCUUUAGACAUAUUUGACAGAAAAUUCCAUUAAGUGAUGUAAUAAAUACCUCUACAUGCAGAGCAAUUAGUUGAAAGAAACAGCUAGGACAGUCCCCAUCAUGGUUUGUUUACAAAACACGUUUGUUUACGAAACAGCACACUUACAACCUGCAGUCUUUUGGUGCACAUUUCCUUUAUCGAAGUACAAAAAAAAAAAAAAAACCCAAAAAAAAAAAACCAACACCAAAAAAAAAAAAAAAAAAAACCCAAAAAAAAACACCUGUUUUUAUAAAGAUCUUUAAAAUAACCAGAAAUGGAUGAGAAAGAGUAAAAGACAACUAUGACGAAAUGUAAGCAAACAACAAUUCAAAGAAACCAAUGAAUCAGUUGCAUAAUUUCAGUGCAGAAAGCUAAGAGUGGACCUGCCAAAAAGGAAUUCUGACCAGCUGAGCUGCGAGACCACCUUCUGCAGGAGAAGUCUGCUCCCAAGUGUAAAUCAGGUAAAAUUCCUCUUACCAUGUUUUGCCUUCUGAUCCAGCUUCCAAAAUCCUUCUCCUAUAAUGUAAAAACUGCAACUGUAUAUUUUAUUUAUUUAUUGUAAGAAUUAGGACAAUUGAGUCAGAAAACUCAGAAGAUUGGAAAAAAUUGUUGUACUACCAUGGAAAUAUUUAGGGAUAAGCUCUUUGCUGUGCAGUGAUCAAGUUAUGGAUAUAUACAGCAUGCUGCCACCUAGAAAAUGUGUGUAAAGAAAUUUAAGUCAUCAAGCCUUGAUGUUCAUUUGCCUUUUUUCUUCCUGAAAACUAUCAUAAGAAGUUCUGCAUGUAUAAAUCUGUAAGGAAAAAAGGCCUUCUGUCCAAGACAUUCAUUGAGAAAUUAAGACUUCUUCAAAUAAAACUGUAGUUUUCAUCAAUCCUAGGCAAGUUUAAAUCUGAUUGAACCAUGUCAGCAAAAGAAGAGAUUUUACUCGGUAAUCUAUAAUUGGCAACACAGAUUCAUAAAACCCUUAGCCAGCUCUGUUCAUACACAGGAUCCUGUGUUUUGGUUUGCUAUGAUAUUUGGCUCUGUGAAAUAACAGACAACAUUAACCCACUUGUACCUGGAUCGCUAACAUAUAUUGUCAAAGCCUGAAUAAGUGACAUAUCUUUUCUUUUCAUAGAAAGAAGUUUGGAAAACUGUCAGCUCCUUUCACAGAGGCUGAAAUAGGAUGGCCAGAGAAGGGUGUUGGUGUUGGUAAGAGAAAAAUGAGUGAAGUUGCAUCAUUUGUAUGAUUAAAAUCACUGUGUGAAUUUUGAUUUCCCCCCACCCUCCUUUCAGACAUUUGAGGAUGCUGUCAAGUCAAUGGAGUUCUGUUGUAGUGGUUGCUUCAGUGAACAUUCAACGCUGUCGGCCUUAACAUCGAAGAUAGCAACCUAACCACCACAUGAUGUUUCUCCCCCACCCUGCCAAGCUUUACAAAAAAGGUCACAAUCAACAUUCAUUGCUGUCGGUGGGUUUAACUAUGUGGACAAGCUCACUGAACAAUGAAUGCAACUGUGGCCCCACAUUUUGCAGUUGCCGUUGAGAGGAACAUCAGCUCUGAAAGCAGUAGUGAGAAGCAAACACUUCUAAGCUACAAUUUUCUUGUCAAAAAAAGUAGUUUGGAUAUCCACUUUUUGCUUGCUUGUUUUUAAGCAUGUUUAAGUUGGCUGACUAGAUAAGAAAAUCUGUAUUUUUCUGGAAUAUUGUCCUCCCAGAAUUCAGCAUCAUUGAAGCCAUAAAAAUUCUUAUUCAGUAUGUAUGUGGAAAUAUAUAAAAAUAUGGGGAACUUAGUAUGUAUCCACUCCUGCAGUCUCUGAGCACAAGAGGAAAGAAUAUUUAAAUCUUGCUUUAAGUAGGCAUUGUGGAAUAGUUCAAAAGUUUCUUCUAUACUUGUCAUGACAAAUACAAAUGAGAGGCUGAGUUCAAAGAUACAGAUAGAAUGUUAUAUCAAAUAUUAAUUUUAUGUGAAACUGAUUUUCAGCACCUAAAUACUAUUAGUAAUAAAUAUUAUUACAUUUGCCUUUUUUAGGGAUCUGAAUGAUGAUAAAUGUAUAUCCAGAAAUAAUAAUGGCACAGUAGUUAAACUGUAAAGCACUGUAAACUUUAGUUACCUAUGUCACAUUCAGUAUUGCUGAUAGUAAUAAGAAAAUAAAAGUGUAAAUAAAGCUCACAAUUUGUCUUUAUUUCCUUAUAACCCUUUGUUAACCUGGUCAGACACACAGAAGGACCAGGCUAUGUUUCUCACAUCACAAAGUUAUCCAAGGUAAGUUCAGUCUUUAGAUUUAAUACAACUCAGAUAUUCCACAGCAGGAAUUGCUUCCAAAAGUUAGGUAAUCACACAGCAUUCAUAUUGUCAUAAUGUGGGGUCUGUGCAUGAUACUUUAGUCUGAUGAUUUACAAAGUUUCCUCAGCACAUCAGUUAAACAGUUGUCUUGUGUACUGUAUUUGUUUGAUU